rnacentral:rRNA from 1 species
CCUACGGGCGGCUGCAGUGGGGAAUAUUGGGCAAUGGGCGCAAGCCUGACCCAGCAACGCCGCGUGAAGGAAGAAGGCUUUCGGGUUGUAAACUUCUUUGACAGGGGACGAAACAAAUGACGGUACCCUGAAAACAAGCCACGGCUAACUACGUGCCAGCAGCCGCGGUAAUACGUAGGUGGCAAGCGUUAUCCGGAUUUACUGGGUGUAAAGGGCGUGUAGGCGGGAUUACAAGUCAGAUGUGAAAACUAUGGGCUCAACCCAUAGCCUGCAUUUGAAACUGUAGUUCUUGAGUGAUGGAGAGGCAGACGGAAUUCCUCGUGUAGCGGUGAAAUGCGUAGAUAUGAGGAGGAACACCAGUGGCGAAGGCGGUCUGCUGGACAUUAACUGACGCUGAGGCGCGAAAGCGUGGGGAGCAAACAGGAUUAGAUACCCCGGUAGUC